GACAGGCACUCUUUUUGACCGCUUCAAAACAAAUUGAACUCGCUGAGUGUUUGGAAAACUUGAAAGAGAGCAGCUCAACGGGAAUACGUUCGUGCUGGCCAAGACAUUGCAGAAACUUCCAAGCUGAAACCUGACUUGCAGAAUAAAUUUAUCUUUGAAUCUCAUAUCCAAAGUCUCUGCAUAGCUAUUACUUCACCCUCUUAACCACUAUUACAGAUGGUAUAUAUAUUAAAGGCGAAAUGGUACAUGAAGUGAAACUGAAGAGGGAGAGCUUACAAUUGUUUAUUUACUAGUUUCUUUAGGUUAGAAAACAGAGGCAUUAGUGAACUUAUUUGGGAUUUUAGUUUUUUACCCAUAACGAUUCUAUUGCACAUCAUUGUUGUAUAGUAUAAUAUAAUCCAAUAGUUGUGGGGGAUUAUAUUGUCAGAAAAAAAAAACAAAAUACCAGAUGAUUUUACAGUAUGUAUUGUGUAUUUCUUUCUACUUACAAUCACAAUUUACAAAUACAAUUA